rnacentral:rRNA from 1 species
CCGUUUGAUCCUGGCGGAGGCUAUUGCUAUCAGGGUUUGACUAAGCCAUGCGAGUCGAGAGGUGAAAGACCUCGGCAUACUGCUCAGUAACACGUGGAUAAUCUGCCCUCAGAAGAAGAAUAAUCCCGGGAAACUGGGGCUAAUACUUCAUAGGAGACGGGUGCUGGAAUGCUCUGUCUCUGAAAGGUCCGCCGUCUGAGGAUGAGUCUGCGUCCGAUUAGGUUGUUGUUGGGGUAACGGCCCAACAAGCCUUUGAUCGGUACGGGUUGUGGGAGCAAGAGCCCGGAGAUGGAUUCUGAGACAUGAAUCCAGGCCCUACGGGGCGCAGCAGGCGCGAAAACUUUACAAUGCGAGCAAUCGUGAUAAGGAAACCCUGAGUGCCUGUCAACGCAGGCUGUUCUGGUGUCUAACACACACCAGGAGAAAGGGCGGGGCAAGACCGGUGCCAGCCGCCGCGGUAAUACCGGCUGCUCGAGUGAUAGCCACUUUUACUGGGCUUA